UACGGGGGGGGCAAGCGUUGUUCGGAAUUACUGGGCGUAAAGGGCUCGUAGGUGGCCAACUAAGUCAGACGUGAAAUCCCUCGGCUUAACCGGGGAACUGCGUCUGAUACUGGAUGGCUUGAGUUUGGGAGAGGGAUGCGGAAUUCCAGGUGUAGCGGUGAAAUGCGUAGAUAUCUGGAGGAACACCGGUGGCGAAGGCGGCAUCCUGGACCGACACUGACGCUGAGGCGCGAAAGCUAGGGUAGCAAACGGG
rnacentral:rRNA from 1 species